UACAGAGGGUGCGAGCGUUAAUCGGAUUUACUGGGCGUAAAGGGCGCGUAGGCGGUUAUUUAAGAUAGAUGUGAAAUCCCUGGGCUUAACCUAGGAAUGUCAUCUAAGACUGGGUAACUGGAGUAUUGUAGAGGGUAGUGGAAUUUCCGGUGUAGCGGUGAAAUGCGUAGAGAUCGGAAGGAACACCAGUGGCGAAGGCGGCUACCUGGACAAAUACUGACGCUGAGGCGCGAGAGCGUGGGGAGCAAACAGG
rnacentral:rRNA from 1 species